rnacentral:misc_RNA from 1 species
GUAAACUACACCUUUAGGGAUGAAUGCUUCACAUCUAAGAAUGUGGAGUUCUUACUACAAGAUUUAAAGUUACACCCAACACAGUCGAAGACCAUGUCAGACAAAUUUGCAGCAGUUGGAAUACUUCAGGGAUUCCUCGACUUUGUUAACAGGAAACACGCCUGAGAAAUUUCUUCGAAAAAUGGACAUGCAUCUACUUCAUUAUAUGUUGUACAUAUAAUAAACAUUAAAACUAGGAGUAGCAUGUGUUGCUGUAGUUUGUUACUCUCUGUAUAAAUUUGUAACAGUGUAUUCGAAGACAAGACAGUAAUGUUAUGGAUUUGGGCUUCUUUGUUGGUCAGAUCUUGUGACAUCUUGACCACAUUUUCAUCUGCUUGAAGA